GACGAACGCUGGCGGCGUGCUUAACACAUGCAAGUCGUACGGUAAGGCCCUUUCGGGGGUCCACGAGUGGCGAACGGGUGAGUAACACGUGAGUAACCUGCCCACAACUUUGGGAUAACGCUAGGAAACUGGUGCUAAUACUGGAUAUGUGCUCCUGCUGCAUGGUGGGGGUUGGAAAGCUCCGGCGGUUGUGGAUGGACUCGCGGCCUAUCAGCUUGUUGGUGGGGUAGUGGCCUACCAAGGCGGCGACGGGUAGCCGGCCUGAGAGGGUGACCGGCCACAUUGGGACUGAGAUACGGCCCAGACUCCUACGGGAGGCAGCAGUGGGGAAUAUUGCACAAUGGGCGCAAGCCUGAUGCAGCAACGCCGCGUGCGGAUGACGGCCUUCGGGUUGUAAACCGCUUUCAGCAGGGACGAAGCUUUUUGUGACGGUACCUGCAGAAGAAGCACCGGCUAACUACGUG
rnacentral:rRNA from 1 species